AGUGAAAGCUGGCGGGGUGCUUAACACAUGCAAGUCGAACGAGAACGGGUUAUAACUUGUUAUAACUGUCAGCUAAGUGGCGCACGGGUGAGUAAUGUAUAGGUAAUAUGCCUCUUAUUAAGGGAUAACAAAUUGAAACGUUUGCUAAUACCUUAUACUCUUUAUUAACCUAAGUUAAUAAGGGAAAGUUUUAUUGGUAAGAGAUUAGCCUGUAUUGUAUCAGUUAGUUGGUGGGGUAAUGGCUUACCAAGACGAUGACACAUAACUGGUUUGAGAGGAUGAUCAGUCACACUGGAACUGAGACACGGUCCAGACUCCGACGGGAGGCAGCAGUGGGGAAUAUUGCACAAUGGACGAAAGUCUGAUGCAGCAACGCCGCGUGGAGGAUGACACAUUUCGGUGCGUAACCUCCUUUUAUAUGAGAAGAUAAUGACGGUAUUAUAUGAAUAAGCCCCGGCUAACUCCGUGCCAGCAGCCGCCGUAA
rnacentral:rRNA from 1 species